GGCCCUAUCGUCUAGUAGUUAGGACAUUACCCUCUCACGGUAGAAACCGGGGUGCGAAUCCCCGUAGGGUCACAA
rnacentral:tRNA from 1 species